rnacentral:lncRNA from 1 species
UUCUGAUGAAAAUAUUCCCUGACAUACAGUUUACAUGAUUACCUUCUGGUCUUCUAAAUUAUAUACAAAGUUAUAAAAGAAAAUAAUCUGCACUUUUCUAAAAUUGCUAAAAAGGAAAACUUUCUUUCUACAUUUUGAUCAAAUGAGUUAAAAGUCUGCUCUGUCUCUUUUUUUCUUAGAUUUGAAACCCUGCUGUCCUUUCCUGAUCAACAUGUUUGGACUUCUUCAAUAGGACUGAUAUCACCCUGCCUUGGAAUGAGCAGGAACUAUGUGUGUGUGCUUGUAAGUGCAAUUUUGUUUGUAUAUGUAAUGAUUUUAUUUGGGUCAAUAUAAUCAUGCUUUAAAGCUUUCAAGUUGCACAGAAAACUACUCACUGAGCAUUUUAUUGGUCUAGAAGAGCUCUAAUAGGCGUCUAAAUGUAGCCUAGAUGACUGGUCUAAAAUCAGACUACCACAGGUCUAAAAAUGAAAGUUUUUUAGACAUCUAAAUUUAGACCAAGUUUAGACCAAGUCUUAAUCUGGGCUAUAUCCAUACUACACUGUAUUUUGCUCAACAGCUAUCAUGAUAAUUUUGGUUGAGUACUUGGGGAUCAGUUAUGCAACUCACAGUUGCUUUUUGAGAUAAAAAGUUAUCGAGUAAUGGGUUAAAGUGCAACAUCGAAAUUCUGUCAAGUAAUACAAAGAACCUUGAUGGUUGAAAUUUGGUCCAAAAAAAACCAACUAGAUGUCGAAUAGCUGUCUAUUGCUCAGUGGGUAGACACUUUGUACAGAUUUUGGUGUUCACUGCUGACAAUGAUUUUUUUCUCUUAUGUUGAAUCUUGUUGAGUUAAUUUCAAGAAACCACUCUAAAACCCAUUUUAAACUGCGUAUGUGAGGUGUGUGUGUUGAAUUGCACCACUAGAUGGCAUCCUGAGAGAGGCCUUAUCAUCCCAGCAGCACUGUUCAGUUGGCAGAGGAGGACAAAAUAAAACAAUGCUUAUCUCUGCACACAUGCAUUUAAUACUUGACUUUAACUGAGCUGAUAUAUUUGAUGUACUUGAGGCCUUUUUUGUGGCUCUUUAAUGAAUGGGUCUUAUAGUGUUUAUCUGUUCCUUUGCCAUCAUUUUCUCCACUAAAGUCUUGGGAGCCCUUCUUUUGCUGGUGAUAUAAUUAUAAUAUGUCAAGCCAAGUUUUUUGCCCGGACUUAAGCUUUUAAAAUGCCUGACCUCAAAGCAUAAACCUGCAUUUCCAUUUUGAGACUAAGUUAGCAUUAAAAACCUUCACAUUAGAUAUAUUUUUGUUGGUGCUUUGGGCCUUAAGACAUUUUAUUUAAUGUGAAAUGUUAUAGCCUGUGAUCAUUUGUGCUUUUGCAUUUAUUAGAUUCCUGUAAAACAACUUCUACAGUUGGUUGGUCAGUCCACUACAUGUGUGCAAAAGUUAGAUGUCUCCAUCCUUGACUUGUUACUGCUGUCCAAAAAGGCUUUGACAAAAUCUGCGUUGAGCCUUGAGGAAUUUAAAAAAUGGGGAACUAAUUUAACAUGUUUUUGUGACAAACAGGCUCUAAAGCAGCGAAUAGUCUAUCCCAGAGACAAGUAUAUGCAGUGCAGCAGUGAGGCGUUGGCAGCUCUGUGUGUUUUUGUGUGCAUGUUUGUACAUAUAUGUGUGUGUUGAAUGUUUGUCUUUGUGAGACAGGGCUGGCUGCGUUUGCUGUGCGUGACUGACUAAGAGCAGAGCACCAGGAGCAGACAUCUGUGUAUACUCAUGGACAAAGGCUGCACUGGAAGAGAAAUGCUUCACCACAACAG